rnacentral:tRNA from 1 species
GGGCGAUUAGCUCAGUUGGUUAGAGCACCAGCUCGACAAGCUGGGGGUCAAAGGUUCGAGUCCUUUAUCGCCCA